CAGGCGCAGAGUGCCCUCCGACACGUGGUUGCUGUGUUGUGCUGUAGCUCUGCUCUGGCGUUAGCGCUUUCUCCUGCUGGUAUUCACACCCGAGGAAAGCCGUUUUCCCCGUUGACUGCCAGGAGGGAGGGAGCAACCGGCAGCAGCUUGCAAUCGCUCGGCAGCCACGCCCCCAUCUCCUGUUGGCUGCAUUUACCCAGCAAUCACUGCUCAUAUUUGCAUAUUGUUCACGUUUUUCCUUUACUUUUAAAUUCCAAUAAAAAAGACAAUAAUGAACUCA